rnacentral:lncRNA from 1 species
AUAUUCUGACUUGUGUUAGCUGACGGGUUUAAAUUCCUCUCUGGCUCACUUUUCUGACGCUGACUAAUAGAGUGGAAGGUGAACAUAUGAAAUUGGGCAUAAAAAAAAGACAGUGUGUGGCUUUGGUAAAGUGUUCUGUUGGCCUGUAGAUGAAAAAGAAUUUAUUCAAGCUGAACCUGAGAAACAAUUAAAAAAAAAAAAACAAAACGCCUGACCGAUGUGAGGAAUAAUGUUUGUAAUGAUAAAACUCAUUAGUAGGGGUCUUGGAAAAGGAACUACUGGAACUGAAUUAUUUGAUCAUGAAAAUACAAUUUCACUGUCAAUGCCAACCUGGGAUGGUAGAAAGACCAUGGAAUCUCAAUGGAAUUGGAAUUCCAGUGUUCUUCUUACAAGGGCUCCAUCAUCACUUGUUGAGCCAAAAUUUACGAGAGUGCCUCUAGUACCAAAUACAGCUAAGACACAGUCCUUCCUCUCUAGGACGUUUCUCCAUUGUUUGCAAGGAUGGUUAAGUCUUUAUCAUCUCAAGGUAACUGGUCACAGAGGAGGGGGUGAGACGAUGUAUUAUCCAGUAACCUUACUGUCAGCUGAAUCAGUGUCCACAGAGUUCAGAAGAAUAUACAAAGCAAUCAUGCAUC